GGAUGUGAGGAUGAUCUGGCUUCGACAUCUGUCACCCCAUUGUCGCCAGGGUUGAUUUGCCUGAUCUGGCUGGCUAGGCGAGCUUCCCCUUCCUCCCUCACCCAUGUGCAUCUCUCCUGAAGCUGUGCACUCUGUAGAAGCGGAUGACCUUCCCCCGGGAGGAGAGGACCACACCGAUCUUUAGUCAAAGGUAUAUGAGUAGUUGCACUCCCCUGCUAGAACCUCCAAACAAGCUCUCAAAUAUGACCUCAAACCUUCCAGGACUUCCCAGAGCCAAACUGUUUUGCCAUAAGUCUCAGUUUUCUUAACUCUGUCAUGGGGUUGAGA
ensembl:misc_RNA 7SK 7SK RNA